rnacentral:rRNA from 1 species
UACGAGGGGGGCAAGCGUUGUUCGGAUUCAUUGGGUGUAAAGGGUGCGUAGGCGGCGCGGUAAGUCGGGUGUGAAAUCUCGGAGCUUAACUCCGAAACUGCAUUCGAUACUGCCGUGCUUGAGGACUGGAGAGGAGACUGGAAUUUACGGUGUAGCGGUGAAAUGCGUAGAUAUCGUAAGGAAGACCAGUGGCGAAGGCGGGUCUCUGGACAGUUCCUGACGCUGAGGCACGAAGGUCAGGGGAGCAAACGGG